rnacentral:lncRNA from 10 species
GGACCCGGGACGGGCGGGCUGGAGGGCGCGCGGCAGCAGCCGGGGCGCCGGGAGCCAGAGUCAGAGCGCGGGCCGAGCCCGGCGCCCUGCCUCCCCUCGCCAGCUGCGGCUUGGGUCGAGGCUGCUGCGCGGCAGCGGGCGGGCGAGCAAGCGGUCGGCCGGACUGAGCGGCUAGAGCGCCCCACUCUCCUCCGAGUCCCCCUCACUCCGACACGAGGCUCAGCACUGCCAUUUUACCCAGCGCCGUCGCGGCCGCCUGGCAAACCCGGAGUGGAGAGCGGAGCGGGCGCAGGCCGUGGAACGGACUCGCUCCCUUCCCUUCACAAAGGAGGAGGGGAGAGAACAAGCCGCGGCGGCGGCAGGCCCUCAGCCGCUUUCGCUAGGCAGCGCCGCCGCCGAAGGCUUCGGAGAAAACCCGGCCCGGAGCCCGCGCAUCUCUGGAGCCUGCGCCGCCUCCCUCCCGGCGUCCCUAUCCAGGUCUGUCCCCUCCCGGCCGUACCGAGGGGAGCGGGCAGCGUGAACUUUACCCGCGGCUGCAAAAUUGGCCAGAGCCUGAGACCGCGGCCGCCUCGGCCCAGCCCUGACCCCCUGGCAGCGGGCCCGGUCCGUUGGCUGCUGCUUAGCACCUCUACAGCACUUUUCGUCUUCAAAGCCUUCUACGGACCCCGCUAAAGACCCAACCUUUUUUACCCUCUUUGCAAGCCCGAAAGAAUGACUGAUCAUUGUUCAGACGAUUCGUUUCCCACUCGCCUGCCCUCAUUAGCCGGUCCUUACAAGGCUCUGGGGGCAUGAGGUCCGGAUUAUCCCCAUUUUACAGAAUUGAAAGAGAGGGGAGGGAACUGCCUGUCACUUAAAGUCAGAGGGCAGAGGAGGGUGACUUUAAAAAGAAGUGGAGUCACCAAAGCUGCCUUCGGUCUACUUGCCUUUAAAAAAAAAAAAAUCAAGUUGUGAGCACAUUCAACAAUGGGAUCAGAAUAUCAAAAUGGAUUUGAAGUCAAAACUGAUCAUCUCACCACUAACUUAAAAUGGAGGCCACUGAAGUUGCUUUAGGAGCAUAGAACAGUUACCCAGCAGGAAAACCUAAACACCGUUUCUCACUCCCUCUUAAGAAAACUUAGCCUACCAUGACAAGUAGCCCCAGUCUCCAAAGACAGUACCUUCUAAUACUGAAAACCCACAGAAGAGGCUCCAGGGACUGCAGGAACCUGAGUGUUCAAACCAUUACAGAAGAGAGAUGCAGAAAAUGGAAACCAUUUUCUCCUUGAAGAAAAGGCACAGUCCAACAAGUCACUUAGAAAAUGGAUGCUUGUCAGAUUUGUUUUCUAUCCUGUAGCGUAAAGAUUGUUUAAAGUUUACCAUUACAUUCUAAGAGACCCCGAUUGAGCUGGAGUUGGGUAGAAGGCCAGGUUUAUCUGAAAAGAUCGACAUACACAGAAAGCUCCAGUGUUCUCCUGAUCUACAGGCCCCACCAAAUCCCAGCAGCAGCCUUUUCUUCCUCAGGCUGACUUGGAAUGUUCUGAUAUGACAGGCUACAAAAGCCAGAGGGGAUUCCAGCUCCUCACCAGACCCAAGGCUGCCUUGGGAAAGGCCCAGGCCAGUGUUCCUAGACACCAGGAUCUCUUUUCCCCCUCAGAUUUUGUAAAGGGAGACUUCAUGGCCACAGGAGCAUUAUCUUAGAUUAUGCAGGACCCGGGAGUGCUGGCAAUGUCCCUGGUCACUAUGAAUAAUUCCAAAGCCUGAACUCAUUUCUCUCCCCAAGAAAACUUACUGCAUCCUACACCAGAAAGGCAAAACCUUCCUGUUAAUCUAAGAGUGAUGAGAUUUAAAAAAAAAAAAAAUCCCACAGUUUUAUUCUUCUCCCCUCCCCCGGCCUCAAGCCAAGAACCAAACCAGCCUACCAAGAAGAUCCGACUGACUGGUAUGGGCCAGUGCCCUCUUUUCACUCACAGUCCUCAGGGGCAACAACUCUCCCCGGUGCAUUAGGUCCUAGAAACCAAAUUAUAGGCUGCCUCAUAAAUAGAGCUUGGCUAUUUAAUCAACUGCCCCUGAGCUGGCAAACAGUCCUGAGUCCUGCACACAAAUGAGGAUUUUUUUACAUGCCAUUACUCUGCCAUUUUCCUUAGAGCUGGGGUGUAAUGGGAAACCUGGAGCCCAGUGAAAAUCUGGAAGCUAGAAUGGAUUUCUCUCCAAAGAAAGCCCUCAUCCCCUUUCUUCAAUGGCUGUGAAAUAUGGAAAGCGCCAAAAAUCUCCUUCCCUACACGUGGGCAAGCUGUUUUGAAAACAGUCACCAUUUUUCUCUAGCAAUAAGGUAAAGUGCACAAAAAUCUAUCCACCUGGGUUGGAGGAGAUAAUGUGGAAUUUCUCUACUUUUUUUUUUUUUUAAUUCACUAGGGUUCUCUUCCACUUUUACUUUUAGAGCCCCACACCACGAUCCCAGGAAAUGUUGGGCUGAGGGAACUUUUUUAGAAACUGGCCCAUCAGCUUUCCCUAGGGGCAGUGGCAACGGGAAAGCGGGGGAGGGGAGGAGCUGGGCACGUGGCUGGCCCGAGCAGCGAGACCCCGGCUGGGGGCAGUGGGUCCUCCCUUCGGUGGAGUUUUUUCCCCCACGGCCCCUGCCUUUUAACCCCACACCCAGGCAGCUCAGGAAUCCCGGCGCAGAUUGGAGAACUAGGACUAGGACAGCGCUACCCUCGCGAAAGCACCUCGGCCAACAGCCUGAUGGCAAAUAUGGACUGAAUCGUUGACAUGGAAACCGGACUAAAGUCUCGCUAGCUCUCCCUCACAGGAGAGUUCUUAUCGCCGUCCCCGACCGCACGGCACUUAGCAAACGCGGACUGGAUUUGAGGCCUGGAGGAUCAGGCGGAGUUUCUGGGCGUAUUAACUCCAGCGGCAGAGCAGCCAAGGAAGGGGGCAGGGCUGCCAGGACAAACCGGCUGAAAAUGGCAGAGGAUGUGCUCCCAUUUUAUCCGGCUGCACAGCGUGCAUGGAUUGGGCCCGAGGACAAGGGAACAACCUAUUAAAAUCCAGAGAGUCAACUGCAAAAUGUGGAACCGAGGCCUGGAGGGUUUGCUAGGAGAGGGAAACGUUUGCAGGGAAGACAGCCCUUCCUUUCUCGCAAUUUGCUUCCCCUAAAUGUCUGAAAUACAAAACUCAACAAACAAACAGAAGAUCGGGCUCGGCUCCUUCCUCCACCCAAUCCUUGUGGGAGAAGUCGUCUUAAGCCCAGGGACCCUAGCGAGGGUUUGCUUAGAUUCCUAACUAAGGCGUGGAGAAUCGCUGGAGCGCCAGGUUGUUGCCCCCACACGUUCCCGCCGCGGAACAGCAGCAGACACCCAGCAGAGCUCUCUCGAGUGCGAACUGGAGCUGCGAGUUUGAGCAAAAGGGCAACUAUGUCAGUUGACGGAAGCCAGAAGCAGAGUUCAAAGCCUGGCGUGGAUUUCCGUCUGGAGCUGUCUGUUCUUAAAGUUUGUAACUCCGUGUUAAGAAACAGCCCCAGCGGAGGCUUUGGGAUCGGUGUGAAAGUCUAGCACUACCAUCUGACAGCGAGCUGCAAAACUUUGGGCUGCAUAUUAAGCGAGGAAAGUGGAUUGAAGCGAGAGUCAAGGCAAUUCAUUAUGUUACCGGCUCCCAUACGGGAGCUGUAAAAUACGAACUGGAUGCACACACGGAGAAAAAUGGAAUGAACUCGGAAUGGCAUUCAACAGCUCUUCGCGGUAAAACUGUGACUGCCAAGGAUCUAGAAUCCCAAAGGAGCAAACCAGGAGGCCUCAAACUUGGUUGGCACACAAUAAAUGCUUUUCUAGAUCUUUUCCCCACUCAUCUCAAACUCUUAAGCAAUUUGGGGUCAUUUAUAUUUCAGAAUAAGGAACACAUUUUGAGAAAUGUUAAUUUCUGAAUGAGACUUUUUUUCCCCAAAGUAGCUGUGAAAAAAAGAGCCUCAGGCAUAAGUCAGCCAGCUUAUUUUGUCUCAAUAUAAAUUAAAAAUUACCCUCACCACCACCUCCACCAAAACUGAAAUAAAAAAUAAAAUAAGUAAAAGUCCAGGCUGGUCUGGCUUGUGGCAGGUUUCAAACAAAAAUAACACCCAGGGCC